GUAGGGAAUCUUCCGCAAUGGGCGAAAGCCUGACGGAGCAAUGCCGCGUGAGUGAUGAAGGUUUUCGGAUCGUAAAGCUCUGUUGCCAGGGAAGAACGCUUAGGAGAGUAACUGCUCCUGAGGUGACGGUACCUGAGAAGAAAGCCCCGGCUAACUACGUGCCAGCAGCCGCGGUAAUACGUAGGGGGCAAGCGUUGUCCGGAAUUAUUGGGCGUAAAGCGCGCGCAGGCGGUCAUGUAAGUCUGGUGUUUAAUCCCGGGGCUCAACCCCGGAUCGCACUGGAAACUGUGUGACUUGAGUGCAGAAGAGGAGAGUGGAAUUCCACGUGUAGCGGUGAAAUGCGUAGAGAUGUGGAGGAACACCAGUGGCGAAGGCGACUCUCUGGGCUGUAACUGACGCUGAGGCGCGAAAGCGUGGGGAGCAAACAGG
rnacentral:rRNA from 1 species